rnacentral:rRNA from 1 species
GAGUCUUAACCGGGCGUUAAGUUGCAGGGUAUAGACCCGAAACCCGGUGAUCUAGCCAUGGGCAGGUUGAAGGUUGGGUAACACUAACUGGAGGACCGAACCGACUAAUGUUGAAAAAUUAGCGGAUGACCUGUGGCUGGGGGUGAAAGGCCAAUCAAACCGGGAGAUAGCUGGUUCUCCCCGAAAGCUAUUUAGGUAGCGCCUCGUGAAUUCAUCUCCGGGGGUAGAGCACUGUUUCGGCUAGGGGGCCAUCCCGGCUUACCAACCCGAUGCAAACUGCGAAUACCGGAGAAUGUUAUCACGGGAGACACACGGCGGGUGCUAACGUCCGUCGUGAAGAGGGAAACAACCCAGACCGCCAGCUAAGGUCCCAAAGUCAUGGUUAAGUGGGAAACGAUGUGGGAAGGCCCAGACAGCCAGGAUGUUGGCUUAGAAGCAGCCAUCAUUUAAAGAAAGCGUAAUAGCUCACUGGUCGAGUCGGCCUGCGCGGAAGAUGUAACGGGGCUAAACCAUGCACCGAAGCUGCGGCAGCGACGCUGAUGCGUUGUUGGGUAGGGGAGCGUUCUGUAAGCCUGCGAAGGUGUGUCGUGAGGCAUGCUGGAGGUAUCAGAAGUGCGAAUGCUGACAUAAGUAACGAUAAAGCGGGUGAAAAGCCCGCUCGCCGGAAGACCAAGGGUUCCUGUCCAACGUUAAUCGGGGCAGGGUGAGUCGACCCCUAAGGCGAGGCCGAAAGGCGUAGUCGAUGGGAAACGGGUUAAUAUUCCCGUACUUGGUGUUACUGCGAAGGGGGGACGGAGAAGGCUAUGUUGGCCGGGCGACGGUUGUCCCGGUUUAAGCGUGUAGGUGUGUGUUCCAGGUAAAUCCGGUUCACUUUAACACUGAGGCGUGAUGACGAGGCACUACGGUGCUGAAGCAACAAAUGCCCUGCUUCCAGGAAAAGCCUCUAAGCAUCAGGUAACAUCAAAUCGUACCCCAAACCGACACAGGUGGUCAGGUAGAGAAUACCAAGGCGCUUGAGAGAACUCGGGUGAAGGAACUAGGCAAAAUGGUGCCGUAACUUCGGGAGAAGGCACGCUGACACGUAGGUGAAGUGAUUUACUCAUGGAGCUGAAGUCAGUCGAAGAUACCAGCUGGCUGCAACUGUUUAUUAAAAACACAGCACUGUGCAAACACGAAAGUGGACGUAUACGGUGUGACGCCUGCCCGGUGCCGGAAGGUUAAUUGAUGGGGUCAGCGCAAGCGAAGCUCCUGAUCGAAGCCCCGGUAAACGGCGGCCGUAACUAUAACGGUCCUAAGGUAGCGAAAUUCCUUGUCGGGUAAGUUCCGACCUGCACGAAUGGCGUAAUGAUGGCCAGGCUGUCUCCACCCGAGACUCAGUGAAAUUGAACUCGCUGUGAAGAUGCAGUGUACCCGCGGCAAGACGGAAAGACCCCGUGAACCUUUACUAUAGCUUGACACUGAACAUUGAGCCUUGAUGUGUAGGAUAGGUGGGAGGCUUUGAAGUGUGGACGCCAGUCUGCAUGGAGCCGGCCUUGAAAUACCACCCUU